GUUAGUUGGCGAGGUAACGGCUCACCAAGACCGCGAUGGGUAGGGGCCCUGAGAGGGGGAUCCCCCACACUGGUACUGAGACACGGACCAGACUCCUACGGGAGGCAGCAGUGAGGAAUAUUGGACAAUGGACGAGAGUCUGAUCCAGCCAUGCCGCGUGCAGGAAGAAUGCCCUAUGGGUAGUAAACUGCUUUUAUACGGGAAGAAAAAGGGGCACGUGUGCCCCACUGACGGUACCGUAAGAAUAAGGACCGGCUAACUCCGUGCCAGCAGCCGCGGUAAUACGGAGGGUCCGAGCGUUAUCCGGAAUUAUUGGGUUUAAAGGGUCCGUAGGCGGGCCGAUAAGUCAGUGGUGAAAGUUUGCAGCUCAACUGUAAAAUUGCCUUUGAUACUGUCGGUCUUGAGUUAUAGUGAAGUUGCCGGAAUAUGUAGUGUAGCGGUGAAAUGCAUAGAUAUUACAUAGAACACCGAUUGCGAAGGCAGGUGACUAACUAUAUACUGACGCUGAUGGACGAAAGCGUGGGGAGCGAACAGGAUUAGAUACCCUGGUAGUCCACGCCGUAAACGAUGGAUACUAGCUGUCCGGGUCCUUGAGACCUGGGCGGCCAAGCGAAAGUGAUAAGUAUCCCACCUGGGGAGUACGUUCGCAAGAAUGAAACUCAAAGGAAUUGACGGGGGCCCGCACAAGCGGUGGAGCAUGUGGUUUAAUUCGAUGAUACGCGAGGAACCUUACCAGGGCUUAAAUGCAUUUUGACAGGGGUAGAGAUACCUUUUCCUUCGGGCAAUUUGCAAGGUGCUGCAUGGUUGUCGUCAGCUCGUGCCGUGAGGUGUCAGGUUAAGUCCUAUAACGAGCGCAACCCCUACCGUUAGUUGCCAGCGAGUCAUGUCGGGGACUCUAACGGGACUGCCGGUGCAAACCGUGAGGAAGGUGGGGACGACGUCAAAUCAUCACGGCCCUUACGUCCUGGGCCACACACGUGCUACAAUGGCCGGUACAGCGGGAAGCCAUGCGGUAACGCAGAGCGGAUC
rnacentral:rRNA from 1 species